CCUUCUGCUUGCUGGACAGAUGCUGCUGUGAGCAGCAGUGAGUGAGCACUGCCUGGCAUCCUCUGCCAAACUUCUCAGGUGCUGCCAGACUCCUUGAUAUAAUAAAAAGUCCAGAUUGUGUGGUGAAGGUCUGGCCUGCCUGGCAUUCCUGGCUGAGGCUGGACUGGAGGGAGCAGAGAACUUUGCUUCCCAGGAUGCUGGCACUGGCCUGGCAACGUUUGGGAGGUUGUUGGCAGGGUGUGAGCACUCGCUUUCAGUGCUCUGCUUGUCAGGGCAACAGAAAGAGCUCGGGGCUUGGGUAGCAGGAAGGCAGGCUGCCCUGGCUGCUCCCACAAACAGGCCGUCCCCACCCUCUGGCAUUUCCAACCUUGUUGUUUUUCGUCAUCCAGGAGCAAAAACUUGCUUGUGAAAGUGGAGUGCAGCCUGGGGUGGAGAAAUGAGAGAGAGGGUCAAGGCAUGUGGCUUUGUACUGAGGGCAGAGAGGGGACUUUCGUUGUGCAGGUCCCUGUCUGUCCCCGCAAGGACCCUGUGUCGAUCAGCCUGGUGUCCUGAGCCUGUCACCUGCUGCUCUUCUGGCUCCCAGCCACGGGGCAGAGCUACUGCAAAGGCUCUUUGCAACUCUCACGCGUCCAAGGGUGCUGGAGAUGCUCCAGCAAUGGCAGAUCUUCCCCCUUCAGCCUGUCCUUGGAGGCAGCAAAGGGCCUGUCAUGUGCCCAUGCCUGGAGGAGCAACCACUGUGGCACACUACUCCAUGACCACCACCUGCCACACCUUUUGGGUAGGACACUUCAGCCCGAGAUAACCAGCCUACCUGACUUGUGAAGAGGGGCAGAAAGCAACCACACGGACAGGCACUCUGGAGCAUCUGUAAUUUGCAGCAUUCCAUGGAAAUGGGCAUCUAUCUGCUCCCUAACAGCCAUGGAUGCACCAGGGCUGAAGCCUCUCCAGAGACGUGGUGGCCCCUGAGAAAGAGAGACUUAACACUUUUGAUCUCUACACAGCUCUUAUUUGGGGAGAAUGAG